AGAGACUAGUAAAAGAAAAGAUGUGAAGCCUCCAGCAGCCAUAAAGGAAAAAGACUCUUCAAAACGGAAAGAAAUUAAGGCUUCAUCUAAUCCUAAGGAAAAAGCUGCAGUGAAAAAGGAGGGGGAG